rnacentral:lncRNA from 1 species
UUAGGAUUUUAUUUAGGGUUUAGGAUUUGAUUAGGAUUUGAUUUAGGAUUUAGGAUUUAGUUAGAAUUUGAUUUAAGGUUUGUUUAGGAUUUUAUUUAGGGUUUAGGAUUUUAUUAGGAUUUAAAAUUUAAUUAGGUUUGGCCUUAAGUUUGAAUGAAAUUCAAUAAGAUUUUAACUAGAAUUAAAUUAAGAUUGAAUUGAGAUGUAUUUGAGUGAUAUUUGUGAUCUUUCUAAUAUUUCUUUAAGAAUUCUUAUUAUUUGUUUGAAAUCUCUUGAGGUUUUUUUUUAAUUUGAUUGAAACUUGGUUAGCAUUAUUAUGAUUUAAUUAGAGUUUAAUUAGUAUUCUAUUAGAAUCAAGAUUUUUUUGUUGAAAUUUCCAUUCUUCCUUCUACAAUGAGGUACUCGAA